UCAGACGGCCGGGCGGUCGCGGCGGGGACUUGUCCCCGUCGAGGAAAGUCCGGGCUCCACGGUGAAAAGGCGGCGGAUAACUUCCGCCCGGGGCGACCCGAGGGAUAGCGCCACAGAAAGCAAACCGCCGCCCGUUCGCGGGCGGCAAGGGUGAAAGGGUGGGGUAAGAGCCCACCGCGGCCUCGGCAACGCGGCCGGCAUGGCAAGCCCCGCCUGGAGCAAGACCGAAUAGGGGCGUCGCGCGAAGUUCGCUUCGCAGGGCUCACCGCCCGAGGCGCCCGGGUAGGUCGCGAGAACCGGUCAGCGAUGGCCGGUCCAGAGGAAUGAUCGUCGCCGUCCUAAGACUUCGGUUUUGGGGCGGAACAGAACCCGGCUUACAGGCCGUCUGACGCC
rnacentral:RNase_P_RNA from 2 species